rnacentral:tRNA from 1 species
GAGGGUAUAGCUCAAGUGGCAGACCGUGUGCUUAGCAUGCACAAGGUCCUGGGUUUAAUCCCCAGUACUUCCA